rnacentral:sRNA from 1 species
UGUUUGCACUUAGCGGGAAGGGUAAGAACCUUCGACUAAGGUUCGACUCGAGCGCCAGCGAGAGAACGUUGCCGCAGGCAACGGCCCGAAGGGCGAGGAGAGAUAGCGACGCGUUAUCCUUUCCCCACCACCA